GACGAACGUUGGCGGCGUGCUUAAUACAUGCAAGUCAACUGAAGCAGAGGUAGUAAUAUCUCUGUGGAGGUGGCGCACGGGUGAGUAACACGUAGGUAAUCUGCCUUCAGGUCUGACAUAACCCCGAGAAAUCGGGGCUAAUAGCAGAUGAUGCAGCGGCUUGACAUCAAGACAGUUGUUAAAGCUUCGGCGCCUGAAGAUGAGCCUGCGCUGAUUAGCUAGUUGGCGGAGUAACAGCCCACCAAGGCUACGAUCAGUAGCUGGUCUGA
rnacentral:rRNA from 1 species